rnacentral:lncRNA from 1 species
GUCGAUAAUGUUGUGUUUAGUUGUAGCAGGUCGAUAAUGUUGUGUUUAGUUGUACAGGUUGAUAAUGUUGUAGCAGGUUGAUAAUGUUGUAUUUAGUUGUAGCAGGUUGGUAAUGUUGUGUUGAGUUGUAGCAGGUUGGUAAUGUUGUGUUGAGUUGUAGCAGGUCGGUAAUGUUGUGUUGAGUUGUAGCAGGUCGGUAAUGUUGUGUUUAGUUGUACAGGUUGAUAAUGUUGUAGCAGGUUGAUAAUGUUGUAUUUAGUUGUAGCAGGUUGGUAAUGUUGUGUUGAGUUGUAGCAGGUUGGUAAUGUUGUGUUGAGUUGUAGCAGGUUGGUAAUGUUGUGUUGAGUUGUAGCAGGUUGGUAAUGUUGUGUUUAGUUGUGCAGGUUGGUAAUGUUGUGUUUAAUUGUAGCAGGUUGGUAAUGUUGUGUUUACUUGUAGCAGGUUGGUAAUGUUGUAGCAGGUUGGUAAUGUUGUGUUGAGUUGUAGCAGGUUGAUAAUGUUGUGUUUAGUUGUAGCAGGUUGGUAAUGUUGUGUUUAGUUGUAGCAGGUUGGUAAUGUUGUAGCAGGUUGAUAAUGUUGUGUUGAGUUGUAGCAGGUUGGUAAUGUUGUGUUGAGUUGUAGCAGGUUGGUAAUGUUGUGUUUAGUUGUAGCAGGUUGAUAAUGUUGUGUUUAGUUGUAUAGGUUGAUAAUGUUGUGUUGAGUUGUAGCAGGUUGGUAAUGUUGUGUUUAGUUGUAGCAGGUUGGUAAUGUUGUGUUGAGUUGUAGCAGGUUGAUAAUGUCGUGUUUAGUUGUAUAGGUUGAUAAUGUUGUAGCAGGUUGGUAAUGUUGUGUUUAGUUGUGCAGGUUGGUAAUGUUGUGUUGAGUUGUGCAGGUUGGUAAUGUUGUGUUGAGUUGUAGCAGGUUGGUAAUGUUGUAGCAGUAAUAAUGUUGUGUUUAGUUGUGCAGGUUGUUAAUGUUGUGUUUAGUUGUGCAGGUUGAUAAUGUUGUAGCAGGUUAGUAAUGUUGUGUUUAGUUGUAGCAGGUUGGUAAUGUUGUAGCAGGUUGGUAAUGUUGUGUUGAGUUGUAGCAGGUUGGUAAUGUUGUGUUGAGUUGUAGCAGGUUGAUAAUGUUGUGUUUAGUUGUAGCAGGUUGGUAAUGUUGUGUUUAGUUGUAGCAGGUUGGUAAUGUUGUGUUGAGUUGUAGCAGGUUGGUAAUGUUGUGUUUAGUUGUGCAGGUUGGUAAUGUUGUGUUGAGUUGUGCAGGUUGGUAAUGUUGUGUUGAGU